rnacentral:rRNA from 1 species
GAGUGAAGCGGCAACAGCUCAAAUUUGAAAGCUAGCCUUCGGGUUCGCAUUGUAAUUUGUAGAGGAUGAUUUGGGGAAGCCGCCUGUCUAAGUUCCUUGGAACAGGACGUCAUAGAGGGUGAGAAUCCCGUAUGUGACAGGAAAUGGCACCCUAUGUAAAUCUCCUUCGACGAGUCGAGUUGUUUGGGAAUGCAGCUCUAAAUGGGAGGUAAAUUUCUUCUAAAGCUAAAUAUUGGCGAGAGACCGAUAGCGCACAAGUAGAGUGAUCGAAAGAUGAAAAGCACUUUGGAAAGAGAGUUAAAAAGCACGUGAAAUUGUUGAAAGGGAAGCGCUUGCAAUCAGACUUGUUUAAACUGUUCGGCCGGUCUUCUGACCGGUUUACUCAGUUUGGACAGGCCAGCAUCAGUUUCGGCGGCCGGAUAAAGGCUCUGGGAAUGUGGCCUCCACUUCGGUGGAGGUGUUAUAGCCCAGGGUGUAAUACGGCCAGCCGGGACUGAGGUCCGCGCUUCGGCUAGGAUGCUGGCGUAAUGGUUGUAAGCGACCCGUCUUGAAACACGGACCAUGCAA